rnacentral:sRNA from 1 species
AGGUAGAAUCGGGCUGCUUUCGCGCUCGCAAUGAUCGUGCGCUUCCUGACCAAGAGAUUCAUUGGAGACUAUGAACCGAAUACAGGCAAGCUGUAUUCACGGCUGGUCUAUGUCGAGGGGGACCAGCUCUCCCUGCAGAUCCAGGAUACUCCCGGGGGCGUCCAGAUCCAAGACAGCCUCCCCCAGGUCGUCGAUUCCCUGUCCAAAUGCGUGCAGUGGGCCGAGGGUUUUCUGCUGGUCUAUUCCAUCACAGACUAUGACAGCUACUUGUCCAUCCGACCCCUUUAUCAGCACAUCCGGAAGGUCCACCCUGACUCUAAAGCCCCUGUCAUCAUCGUGGGCAACAAGGGGGACCUUUUGCAUGCCCGGCAGGUGCAGACACAGGACGGUAUUCAGCUAGCCAAUGAGCUGGGCA